rnacentral:tRNA from 2 species
GGUCCGUUGGUGAAGUGGUGAACACACUUGGUUCUCAUCCAAGCAUUCAGGGGUUCGAACCCCCUACGGACUACCA